GAAUGGACAGCUGUGUGGAAAUGUGAUUGGACAAAAAGAGGGAAGAGAAGAGGCAGAAAUUCCAGUCCUCCUCCCCCCAAAAUUUUAGUCUCGGGAUUUAUUUGUGCUGAAAGCCAGAGUUAUCUACUGCUUGAAACCUAAGCAGAAUGCAUCAGCAUUUCAGGACCACCUGGGACCAAGGGGGGCUGGGAGACUUCCAGAUGGAUUGUAAGACAAUUCACUGAUAUUUACAUAACGAGAAUAAAUGUUUUUCCUAAGAUAGCAUUUCCCUUCAGUGUCUUGAGACCACCAGCAAAAGAGGGAGGUACAGAAAUUCUAUUACAUUAAUAGUCUUUGUUUUUAUGGCUUUGGCAUUUAUUAACUAGUGGGAGCUGUUUAUUGGGUCAUAAACUUUACUAAUGGGGAUAUUAUCUCUAAAUUAUAAAUCUUGUCCAGUAUAUGGCUUAGUUAUAAAAAGAAUGAUUAUUUAAAGUGUCUGUAUGGCUGCAACGUAUCAUGUUUAUCGGCAUGAAUCCUAUAAUGGCCAUUUCAUUGCUAAUUGUGGGCUUGAACCAGAAACAACCAGGGCAGUAACACACAUCUAUGCAAUAGAAUAAGCAGUUGUCACCCCACAACUCAGGAGCAUUGUCAUUGGUUUGCUUCCUUUCUUUUUCUCCCCCCACUUCUCAAAUGAACUACAUUAUGAGCCUCUACAAGGGCUAAAUUAUCUACGUAUUUAAACUCUUGAAGGAAAGACAACUGACUGAAGAGUUGAAUAGGUAAGUGACGAAUGUGUCAGCUUG
rnacentral:lncRNA from 10 species